rnacentral:rRNA from 1 species
CCUACGGGUGGCAGCAGUGAGGAAUAUUGGUCAAUGGGCGCGAGCCUGAACCAGCCAAGUCGCGUGCAGGACGACGGCCCUAUGAGUUGUAAACCUCUUUUGUACGGGGGUAAAUCCCGGCACGUGUAUCGUCCUGAGAGUAUCGUACGAAUAAGCAUCGGCUAACUCCGUGCCAGCAGCCGCGGUAAUACGGAGGAUUCAAGCGUUAUCCGGAUUUAUUGGGUUUAAAGGGUGCGUAGGCGGUGAGCUAAGUUAGCGGUGAAAUCCCGGGGCUCAACUCCGGCUCUGCCUCUGAUACUGUCGGGCUAGAGUGUAGUAGCGGUAGGCGGAAUGUAUGGUGUAGCGGUGAAAUGCAUAGAGAUCACACAGAACACCGAUUGCGAAGGCAGCGUACCAAAGUACGACUGACGUUGAGGCACGAAAGCGUGGGGAGCGAACAGGAUUAGAUACCCUAGUAGUC